rnacentral:rRNA from 1 species
UCGAGGAUCUUUAGCAAUGGGCGAAAGCCUGACUAUGCGACGCCGCGUGAGGGAUGAAGGAUUUCGGUUCGUAAACCUCUUUCGAUGGGGAAGAAACCCUUUGCCAUAACAUGGCAAAGGGGUGACGGUACCCAGAGAAGAAGCCACGGCCAACUCCGUGCCAGCAGCCGCGGUAAUACGGGGGUGGCUAGCGUUACUCGGAUUUAUUGGGUGUAAAGGGCAGGUAGGCGACUAUGCAAGUUGGAGGUGAAAUCCUAAGGCUCAACCUUAGAACUGCCUUCAAAACUGCAUAGAUUGAGGCUAGAAGAGGAGAACGGAAUCCCCGGUGUAAGGGUGAAAUCUGUAGAUAUCGGGAAGAACACCCGUGGCGAAAGCGGUUCUCUGGUCUAGCUCUUACGCU